GUCAAAUCUAGUGACAGAUUUCAUGAAAUAGAAUUCUUAAAGUAAAUUUCUGAUACAGAUGUUGAUUUAGAUUUAUAUUUUUGAAAUGGACAAAUUCAGGGACAGUCUUCCUGAAGAAGGUAAUGAUAAUGUAAUGAUGUUUUCUUCCACGCUUUGUAAAUUGGCUUCAACAAUCUUUCUGAAGGAGUCCCAAAUGCUUUUAAACAAUGAGAUUAUUUACUUAGUAAAUACAAUGAC
rnacentral:lncRNA from 1 species